rnacentral:rRNA from 1 species
CCAUGGGAAGGGGAUCCGAAGAGGGUGAGAGACCCGUAUCCGAAGGCUCGACAUGGAUCGAGGCGGCACCUGAGUACGGCGGGGCACGUGGAAUCCUGCCGGAAUCAUCGGGGACCAUCCCGAAAGGCUAAACACUACUCUGUGACCGAUAGCGAACCAGUACCGUGAGGGAAAGGUGAAAAGAACCCCGGGAGGGGAGUGAAAGAGAACCUGAAACCGCAUGCCCACAAGAAGUCAGAGCCCGUCAAAGGGUGAUGGCGUGCCUUUUGUAGAAUGAGCCGGCGAGUCACGAUCAGCAGGCGAGGUUAAGCAGGAGAUGCGGAGCCGCAGCGAAAGCGAGUCUUAAGAGGGCGAAAUAGUCUGAGGUCGUGGACCCGAAACCGGGUGAUCUAGCCAUGAGCAGGUUGAAGUCGGGGUAAGACCCGAUGGAGGACCGAACCGACCCCCGUUGAAACGUUGGCGGAUGACUUGUGGCUAGGGGUGAAAUUCCAAUCGAACCCGGAGAUAGCUGGUUCUCCCCGAAAUAGCUUUAGGGCUAGCGUCGCAGCGAGAGAGCCGUGAAGGUAGAGCACUGAAUAUGCGAUGGCCGCAUCCCGCGGUACUGAGCAUAAUCAAACUCCGAAUGUCACGGUGUCAUCUGCGGCAGUCAGACGGCGAGUGAUAAGGUCCGUCGUCAAGAGGGAAACAGCCCAGACCAUCAGCUAAGGUCCCAAAGUGCAUGCUAAGUGGAAAAGGAAGUGGAGACGUGCAGACAACUAGGAGGUUGGCUCAGAAGCAGCCAUCCUUCAAAGAGUGCGUAACAGCUCACUAGUCGAAUGACUCUGCGCCGAUAAUUUACCGGGGCUAAGCAUGACACCGAAGCUAUGGACAGGAAUGUGGUAGGGGAGCAUUGCAUGCAGCGGAGAAGCAUGACCGGGAGGGCAUGUGGAGCGCAUGGAAGAGAGAAUGCCGGCGUGAGUAGCGGCACGUGGGUGAGAAUCCCACGCACCGAUGGCCCAAGGUCUCCAGAGGAAGGCUCGUCCUCUCUGGGAUAGUCGGGACCUAAGGCGAGGCCGAAAGGCGUAGCCGAUGGACGACGGGUGGAUAUUCCCGUACCCGAUGUGUGGCGAUGGAGUGACGGAGAAGGCUCAGGCAACCAGCUGCUGGAAUAGCUGGGGCAAGCGAGAUACCUGCGCACCAGGGAAAUCCGGUGCGCAUAAGGGGAAGGCGCGAUGCAUACGGAAAGCUUCGGCAAGUACGGAAAAGCUGAGAGCAGGCUUCCAGGAAAAGCUUCUAGCACAACACACAUCGGCCCGUACCGAAAAUGGACACACAUGGGCAAGGAGAGAAUCCUGAGGUGAGCGAGAGAACUAUAGCUAAGGAACUCUGCAAAAUGACCCCGUAACCUAGGGAGAAGGGGUGCUCCAGAAAUGGAGCCGCAGUAAAACGGCCCAAGCGACUGUUUACCAAAAACACAGCUCUCUGCGAAGGCGCAAGCCGAAGUAUAGGGGGUGACGCCUGCCCGGUGCUGGAAGGUCAAGGGGAGCUGUCAGCGCAAGCGAAGCAGCGAGCCGAAGCCCCAGUAAACGGCGGCCGUAACUAUAACGGUCCUAAGGUAGCGAAAUUCCUUGUCGGGCAAGUUCCGACCCGCACGAAAGGCGUAACGAUUUGGGCGCUGUCUCAGCUGUAGACUCGGUGAAGUCUUAGUACCUGUGAAGAUGCAGGUUGCCCGCGACUAGACGGAAAGACCCCAUGGAGCUUCACUGCAGGUUGACAUUGGGCUUGGAUGCAUGAUGUACAGGAUAGGUGGGAGGCUGUGAGCCGUGCGCGCCAGCGUACGGGGAGCCGCUGUUGGGAUACCACCCUUCAUGCAUCUAGGUCCUAACCGGAGGCAACGGGCCACGGGACAGUGUCAGUCGGGCAGUUUGACUGGGGCGGUCGCCUCCCAAAGAGUAACGGAGGCGCCCAAAGAUACCCUCAGCAUGGAUGGAAACCAUGCAUAGAGUGCAAAGGCAUAAGGGUGUCUGACUGCGAGACAUACAGGUCGAGCAGGGACGAAAGUCGGGCUUAGUGAUCCGGCGGAUCCGAAUGGAAGGGCCGUCGCUCAACGGAUAAAAGCUACCCUGG